rnacentral:rRNA from 1 species
CAUGUCCUUUUGAUUAUUAUUUAAGGUCUAAUCUGCUCAAUGAGGAGUUAAAUUGCCGCGGUAUUUUGACCGUGCGAAGGUAGCAUAAUCAUUAGUUUUUUUAUUGAAAGCUGGAAUGAAUGAUUGGACGAGAAAAUAGCUGUCUCUGUGAAAUUUGUUUUUGAAUUUAAUUUUUAAGUAAAAAAGCUUAAAUGUUUUUAAAAGACGAGAAGACCCUAUAGAGUUUAACAUUAAAAAUUGUAAGGAGUUGUUGGUAUCUAUUUUCUUUAUAAAAUUUAUUGUUUAGUUGGGGUGACUAGAAGAUUAAAUAAACUCUUCUAAUAUAUUGAUACUGAUUAGUAAUUAUAAAAUCUGAAUUUUUCAAAUUUAAUAUAAAUUACCUUAGGGAUAACAGCGUAAUUUCUCUUUAGAGUUCUUAUUGGAAGGGGAGUUUGCGACCUCGAUGUUGGAUUAAAAUUAAUGUUGGGUGCAGUAGCUCAAUUAUUAGGUCUGUUCGACCUUUAAAAUUUUACAUGAUCUGAGU